GGGGAGCCGGGAGCCGCCGCCUCAGCGUGUGUGGUGAGGGAGGGGGGGGGCGGUUCGCAGGGCGCCUGUCGCCUCAGAGCGCUGACACCAACCGGCCCUGGUACGGAGCCCGCCGGGGGCAGCUCAGACAUGAGUUCGGUUCAUAGUCCUUUGGUUCUCAUCGCUGGUUACCUGUAAGAGAUCGGUUUUGUUUUCUGUUCUUUCGAAACCGGCUAUGGUUCAAACCGGCUUUUAAAGCAGCAGGAAUUGGAUGUUCUCAGCCACGGAGAUUUCCAUUCCAAGGUCCCCAUCCUGCCUGAGGAAACCGAGGAAGUCAAAGGGAGGAGAAGAUUAUGGACCUAUCUGUUACUUCAGUGCUGUGGCGUUUCUAUGACUUCCAUCUCCUACACAGUUACAAGCUCUGCAGGAAAGGGAUAUACAACUUGUGUUGAAAACUUUGAGGUUUCCUGUUUCUCUGAGCUUUCUGCCUAAGCCACUUAGCUUUUACUUUGUAUUUUCAUGGCCCUGGGAAAUCUACGGCCUCCCCUGUUCC
rnacentral:lncRNA from 1 species